rnacentral:rRNA from 1 species
UUAGAGGAAGUAAAAGUCGUAACAAGGUCUCCGUUGGUGAACCAGCGGAGGGAUCAUUACCGAGUUAUACAACUCAUCAACCCUGUGAACAUACCUAAACGUUGCUUCGGCGGGAAUAGACGGCCCCGUAAAACGGGCCGCCCCCGCCAGAGGACCCCUAACUCUGUUUCUAUAAUGUUUCUUCUGAGUAAAACAAGCAAAUAAAUUAAAACUUUCAACAACGGAUCUCUUGGCUCUGGCAUCGAUGAAGAACGCAGCGAAAUGCGAUAAGUAAUGUGAAUUGCAGAAUUCAGUGAAUCAUCGAAUCUUUGAACGCACAUUGCGCCCGCCAGUAUUCUGGCGGGCAUGCCUGUUCGAGCGUCAUUACAACCCUCAGGCCCCCGGGCCUGGCGUUGGGGAUCGGCGGAGCCCCCCGUGGGCACACGCCGUCCCCCAAAUACAGUGGCGGUCCCGCCGCAGCUUCCAUCGCGUAGUAGCUAACACCUCGCGACUGGAGAGCGGCGCGGCCACGCCGUAAAACACCCAACUCUUCUGAAGUGACCUCGAAUCAGGUA